GAAGUUGCACUGACCUGGCCAGCCCUGCCACUUACCAGGUUGGAUUCUAGUGAACUUGAUGAGUCAAGACUAUUGCAAUUGGAAAUCUGUUCUCCUCUGCUGCUGCAUUCCCUGCUUAAUACUCAAGCCAGAAACCAGGAAGGCUGUGGCUUGCCUUUUCACUUCUUGUGUCCUGUUUAAGAAAUAUCUGCUAUCCCAAGCAUCUGGCAUCUUUCUUGACAUAUGUAGCAGUUGCUUUUUGACAGCUUGCUUCUUCAGUGAAUGAAUAAAUUAAUAAAGAGAAAUGUGAUGUUCAGUGAUCCAUUUUGCAGCAUUUAUUAAAUACUGGUGCAUAAUGAUGGAAUAAAUUUUAUACCGUAAGGAUAAACCAGUAUUCUGGACUAAGCCAACGUGGGAGACCCUAGGAGGCCUGUUUGAGAAAGUGACAUUUAAAUUGAGACUUGGCGGUGGCUGUGGCUACAUAUCUAAUUGCAAACUCCUAGAGAAGGGCUCAACAGUGAGUGCUGAGGCUGCACAGAGGAGGAAGGCAGCACAAUGAUGGAAGGCUUCCUAAAGAGAUAACACUAACAAAGUUGACCUUAGAAUUGGAGUGCCUGGGUUAGAACCCUGCUGGUACCACCUGCUUACUGCAUGCUUCUGAUGUGAGUUCAGGAGAAGACACUGGCAAGGACAGCAAAGAACAGGAGAACACUCUAGCUUCCCUGAUAGCAUUCAAGGUGCUGUCCAAACUGACUGUGAUGGCACCCUCCAGACAGACAGCGAUGCCACAUGUUCAAGAUGGCAGAAUCACUAUCAGCUUCAAUUCCUGAAUGACUGCAGAGCAAAAUUUCUUACCUGCAACAUACACUCUAUUUUCAGCCUCCCUGGACUGUUACAUAAUGAUACAUAAAAAUAUUUCUUGUGUUGAGGCAUCCCAAAUUUGAUUUAUUUGUCAUCACAGUCUAUCCUAUGAAUAUAUUUCUGAUCCAAAUAAUGCUAGAUUCAUGAGAGUUUAUAGUCCAGAGAUUUUUUUUUUUUUUUUGAGACAGAAUCUGUCUCCCAGGCUGGGGUGCAGUGGCAUAAUCUUAGCUCACUGCAACCUCUGCCUCCCGGGCUCAAGUGAUCCUCCCUCCUUAGCCUCCAUGAGUAGCUGGGACCACAGGUGUGCACCACCACACCCCGCUAAUUAUUUUGUAUUUUUUGCAGAGGGGGGUUUCACCACAUUGCCCAAGCUGGUCUCAAACUCCUAGACUUAAGGGAUCUGCCUGCCUUGGCCUCCCAAAAUGCUGAAAUUACACUUGUUAGCCAUAGUAAUAGUUCCUAGCCAUAGUCCGGAGAUAUUUUAAAAACUUUAGUGUGAGUUAUUUCUCUUUGCUAUAAUUCUCUCAUGCAUUUUGAAAACCUUUUCUGCCAUACAGUGGUUUUUGGGAAGUCCUUUUGGACAGACAUAUCACAGGAUGGAGAAACUAAAAAGAGAGAAUGCAUUAAAGAAAAAAUA
rnacentral:lncRNA from 1 species